rnacentral:rRNA from 1 species
UACAGAGGUCUCAAGCGUUGUUCGGAUUCAUUGGGCGUAAAGGGUGCGUAGGCGGCGCGGUAAGUCGGGUGUGAAAUCUCGGAGCUUAACUCCGAAACUGCAUUCGAUACUGCCGUGCUUGAGGACUGGAGAGGAGACUGGAAUUUACGGUGUAGCGGUGAAAUGCGUAGAUAUCGUAAGGAAGACCAGUGGCGAAGGCGGGUCUCUGGACAGUUCCUGACGCUGAGGCACGAAGGCCAGGGGGAGCAAAACGGGGAUUAGAAA